rnacentral:rRNA from 1 species
GACGAACGCUGGCGGCGUGCUUAACACAUGCAAGUCGAACGGAAAGGCCCUGCUUUUGUGGGGUGCUCGAGUGGCGAACGGGUGAGUAACACGUGAGUAACCUGCCCUUGACUUUGGGAUAACUUCAGGAAACUGGGGCUAAUACCGGAUAGGAUCUCCUGCUGCAUGGUGGGGGUUGGAAAGUUUCGGCGGUUGGGGAUGGACUCGCGGCUUAUCAGCUUGUUGGUGGGGUAGUGGCUUACCAAGGCUUUGACGGGUAGCCGGGCUGAGAGGGUGACCGGCCACAUUGGGACUGAGAUACGGCACAGACUCCUACGGGAGGCAGCAGUGGGGAAUAUUGCACAAUGGGAGGAAGCCUGAUGCAGCAACGCCGCGUGCGGGAUGACGGCCUUCGGGUUGUAAACCGCUUUCGCCUGUGACGAAGCGUGAGUGACGGUAAUGGGUAAAGAAGCACCGGCUAACUACGUG